ACUAUUUUGGCAGAGAAAUGUGAUGAUUUUAGAAGUCAUUAAUAUAUAAUUUAUUUAUAUAUAUAGUA
rnacentral:tRNA from 1 species